UACGUAGGGGGCAAGCGUUGUCCGGAAUCAUUGGGCGUAAGAGCGUGUAGGCGGCCCGGUAAGUCCGCUGUGAAAGUCCAGGGCUCAACCCUGGAAUGCCGGUGGAAACUGUCGGGCUAGAGUCCGGAAGAGGCGAGUGGAAUUCCUGGUGUAGCGGUGGAAUGCGCAGAUAUCAGGAGGAACACCGGUGGCGAAGGCGGGUCUCUGGGCAGUGAACUGACGCUGAGGAGCGAAAGCGUGGGGAGCGAACAGG
rnacentral:rRNA from 1 species